rnacentral:rRNA from 1 species
GUGUCAGCAGCCGCGGUAAUACGGAGGGUGCGAGCGUUAAUCGGAAUUACUGGGCGUAAAGCGCAUGCAGGUGGUUUGUUAAGUCAGAUGUGAAAGCCCGGGGCUCAACCUCGGAAUUGCAUUUGAAACUGGCAGGCUAGAGUACUGUAGAGGGGGGUAGAAUUUCAGGUGUAGCGGUGAAAUGCGCAGAGAUCUGAAGGAAUACCGGUGGCGAAGGCGGCCCCCUGGACAGAUACUGACACUCAGAUGCGAAAGCGUGGGGAGCAAACAGGAUUAGAAACCCUCGUAGUCC